GAUGAACGCUGGCGGCGUGCCUAAUACAUGCAAGUCGAGCGAACAGACGAGGAGCUUGCUCCUCUGACGUUAGCGGCGGACGGGUGAGUAACACGUGGAUAACCUUCCUAUAAGACUGGGAUAACUUCGGGAAACCGGAGCUAAUACCGGAUAAUAUAUUGAACCGCAUGGUUCAAUAGUGAAAGACGGUUUUGCUGUCACUUAUAGAUGGAUCCGCGCCGCAUUAGCUAGUUGGUAAGGUAACGGCUUACCAAGGCGACGAUGCGUAGCCGACCUGAGAGGGUGAUCGGCCACACUGGAACUGAGACACGGUCCAGACUCCUACGGGAGGCAGCAGUAGGGAAUCCUCCGCAAUGGGCGAAAGCCUGACGGAGCAACGCCGCGUGAGUGAUGAAGGUCUUCGGAUCGUAAAACUCUGUUAUUAGGGAAGAACAAAUGUGUAAGUAACUAUGCACGUCUUGACGGUACCUAAUCAGAAAGCCACGGCUAACUACGUG
rnacentral:rRNA from 1 species